CCUACGGGUGGCAGCAGUGGGGAAUAUUGCGCAAUGGGCGAAAGCCUGACGCAGCGACGCCGCGUGCGGGAUGAAGGUCUUCGGAUCGUAAACCUCUGUCAGCAGGGAAGAAAGGUCACUGUGCUAAUCAGUAGUGAAUUGACGGUACCUGCAAAGGAAGCCCCGUCUAACUCCGUGCCCGCAGCCGCGGUAAUACGGAGGGUGCGAGCGUUAAUCGGAAUUACUGGGCGUAAAGCGCUCGUAGGCGGUAUGUCAAGUCAAGGGUGAAAUCCCCGGGCUCAACGUGGGAACUGCCUUUGAAACUGGGGAACUGGAGUGUGUGAGAGGAAAGUGGAAUUCCAGGUGUAGGAGUGAAAUCCGUAGAUAUCUGGAGGAACAUCAGUGGCGAAGGCGACUAUCUGGAACAUAACUGACGCUGAGGAGCGAAGGCGUGGGUAGCAAACAGGAUUAGAUACCCCAGUAGUC
rnacentral:rRNA from 1 species